UUGAAAUUUAAGAGUUUUUGGAUCAACAUGGUGUGCAAAGUACAAACAACAAGCUUCCGAAAUGUAUCCCGCUCAAAUCCGUCUCUCUGACUCAAGAAUUCCCUUCAAAUUUUUUUGAAUUGCCAAAUGUCUGAUGUUGCAGUACCUUUUUCUUGGCUGCCAGCUUUACUUUUCUAUCAUUUCAAAUUCAAAAACAAAAAGAAUCUGAUAUCUCCCACCAUAAUUCACUCCCCCUUUCUCUCUCUACAAAACCCAGUUGUCUCUACAAACGUUCAUCAUUCUAUUCAAAUGUAGGGGGUCUCGAAGACGAUGACAGAGGGCUUGGUUGGUUGCCAUAUUGGUGUAACAAGAUGACAGUGAGGAAUUUCGGCUGAGCCAAACUUCCGGCGACCUAGACUAGGGUUCCAAUCAACUUCCGUGAGCAGUUAGGGAUUUUGGCGAGUAGAUUAGGGUUCCGGCGAAACCCUUUCACUACAUGUUGUCACCUCUGUCGACAAUGAACUAAUUGAAGACCUGCAGUGGUGAAAGUUCUUAGACUGGAUGGUUUGUAUAUGAUUUACAGAUCUUUGUGGAAUGCAGGAGAUGGGGGUUGUCACCAGGAGAGGAUAAAAAAGAUCUAUUGCUGAUGCAUUUGUGAAUUUUAAGGCACUUAUAUAAUGCAGAAGUUCUAAGGCGCGUAUUAGCAGCAUAAAGGAAUCUAUUGCUGAUGCAUUUGUGAGUUUUUUUGUUGCUAAAUUUCAAACAUUUCAAUCAUAUUGAUUCAUAUGGCUCAAAGUUUAACCAGAUUUAGCUAAAUAUUGAGGAGAUGAGUUGCAUAUAUGUUUGUGAAUUUUUUAGUUAAAUGUCUAAAACUGAAACAGUUAAUGAAAGGAUCAUCUUUUGUGUAUUUUAUAAAGAAGGGCUGUUCUGAAUACUAAUUAUGUUAUCGAUAAUAAUUAAUAUGAACAAAGAACAAUAUGUUUGGAGGUCCACCCUACCCAAACCAUUUAAACCCCUUAUUUUUUACUCUUUUGAUCCUUUUGCACGGAGGGAAAAUCCUCACAGGUGGUACAGUUAUAAAGUCCAAAGGAAACUUCGUACAACCCUCAUUAAUUGAGUUCUCACUGAGUGCCAACGUUGUGAAAGAACUUCUUGGUCCUGUCCUAUAUGUGCUGAAACUCACAGACCUAUAUAUGCUGAAACUCAGUCAGUUAUGAAACUCAUAGCCAGUCAAUAAUGGAAUCCGAUCUCUACCGGGGUUAACCUGGUGGGGUCUUUUAUUUCGAUAGCUGGUUUUCUUAUUUGUAAUUUUGUUUCUUUGUACUUUGGGAGUCUAGCUACUGUCCAGGCUCUUUGUUUCUAAUGAUAAUUUGCUUUGACUGUUCUAAAAAAUACACAUUCGAUAAUGUGUGCCCAAACUCAUUAAUACGAACCAAUUGAGAUUUGUUUUUUCUCCUUUGAAUUUAUGCUUAAAGUCUGCUUUUUGUGUGUAGAAGCUUCACAAAUUAGGCUAGCUAAACAAAUCAUUUUGGUCUUCAAAGGGCAGAAGACAUUGAUCGAUAGAGUGAUAGAGUGCUGAGAAACAUUAUUUCUUCUCUGUUCAACUGGAUUUCUCGUAGGACCAAUCAUAUGGAAACUUGCUGGAACUCUUGGUCCUCGAAUCUCCUUUGUAACUUGUAAUAUGCCAUAGUUGUUCUUUGUUUUGUUCGUUUGUAUCCAACAGCUCUUUGCUGGAGGCGUUUCUUUCGCCUUGUUUUAAUGA